UGGGGAAUAUUGCACAAUGGGCGCAAGCCUGAUGCAGCCAUGCCGCGUGUAUGAAGAAGGCCUUCGGGUUGUAAAGUACUUUCAGCGGGGAGGAAGGCGAUAAGGUUAAUAACCUUGUCGAUUGACGUUACCCGCAGAAGAAGCACCGGCUAAUUCCGUGCCAGCAGCCGCGGUAAUACGGAGGGUGCAAGCGUUAAUCGGAAUUACUGGGCGUAAAGCGCACGCAGGCGGUCUGUCAAGUCGGAUGUGAAAUCCCCGGGCUCAACCUGGGAACUGCAUUCGAAACUGGCAGGCUAGAGUCUUGUAGAGGGGGGUAGAAUUCCAGGUGUAGCGGUGAAAUGCGUAGAGAUCUGGAGGAAUACCGGUGGCGAAGGCGGCCCCCUGGACAAAGACUGACGCUCAGGUGCGAAAGCGUGGGGAGCAAACA
rnacentral:rRNA from 1 species